rnacentral:rRNA from 1 species
UCCUGGCUCAGAUUGAACGCUGGCGGCAGGCCUAACACAUGCAAGUCGAGCGGUAGCACAGAGAGCUUGCUCUCGGGUGACGAGCGGCGGACGGGUGAGUAAUGUCUGGGAAACUGCCUGAUGGAGGGGGAUAACUACUGGAAACGGUAGCUAAUACCGCAUAAUGUCGCAAGACCAAAGUGGGGGACCUUCGGGCCUCAUGCCAUCAGAUGUGCCCAGAUGGGAUUAGCUAGUAGGUGGGGUAACGGCUCACCUAGGCGACGAUCCCUAGCUGGUCUGAGAGGAUGACCAGCCACACUGGAACUGAGACACGGUCCAGACUCCUACGGGAGGCAGCAGUGGGGAAUAUUGCACAAUGGGCGCAAGCCUGAUGCAGCCAUGCCGCGUGUAUGAAGAAGGCCUUCGGGUUGUAAAGUACUUUCAGCGGGGAGGAAGGCGAUAAGGUUAAUAACCUUGUCGAUUGACGUUACCCGCAGAAGAAGCACCGGCUAACUCCGUGCCAGCAGCCGCGGUAAUACGGAGGGUGCAAGCGUUAAUCGGAAUUACUGGGCGUAAAGCGCACGCAGGCGGUUGGAUAAGUUAGAUGUGAAAGCCCCGGGCUCAACCUGGGAAUUGCAUUUAAAACUGUCCAGCUAGAGUCUUG